rnacentral:rRNA from 1 species
AUUGAACGCUGGCGGCAGGCCUAACACAUGCAAGUCGAGCGAGCGGCUGACGCGUGCGUAUUGCCUGGGAAUUGCCCACUCGCGGUGGAUAAGAGUUGGAAACGACUGCUAAUUCCUCAUACCAUUUGCUUUCCCAGGGGGGAUUAGCUAGUUGGUGAGGUAAUGGCUCACCAAGGCCACGAUCCCUAGCUGGUCUGAGCGGAUGAUCGGCCACACUGGAACUGAGACACGGUCCAGACUCCUACGGGAGGCAGAAGUGGGGAAUCUUGGACAAUGGAGGAAAGCCUGAUGCAGCCAUGCCGCGUGUGUGAAGAAGGCCUUCGGGUUGUAAAGCACUUUCGGAGAGGAGGCGGUACUCGAACAAAAAGCAACGGCUAACUCCGUGCCAGCAGCCGCGGUAAUAC